UGAACGCUGGCGGCGUGCUUAACACAUGCAAGUCGAGCGAGAAGUUUUGAAAAGAUUCUUCGGAUGAAAUUUAAAAUGGAAAGCGGCGGACGGGUGAGUAACGCGUAGGCAACCUGCCCCAUACAAAGGGAUAGCAUUUGGAAACGAAUAUUAAUACCUUAUGAAACUUAACUCGUGCAUGCUAGGUAGGUCAAAGAUUUAUCGGUAUGGGAUGGGACUGCGUCGGAUUAGCUAGUUGGUGAGGUAACGGCCCACCAAGGCGACGAUCAGUAGCCGACCUGAGAGGGUGAACGGCCACAUUGGAACGGAGACACGGUCCAAACACCUACGGGAGGCAGCAGUGGGGAAUAUUGCACAAUGGGGGAAACCCUGAUGCAGCAACGCCGCGUGAACGAUGAAGGCCUUUGGGUCGUAAAGUUCUGUUCUAGGUGAUGAAAACUGACAGUAACCUAGGAGAAAGCCCCGGCUAACUCCGUG
rnacentral:rRNA from 1 species